rnacentral:lncRNA from 1 species
AGAAUGCAGUGAGGGUAGCGACCGGGCUACACAGUAGAAACAGGGUUUCACCAUGUUGGCCAUGCUGGUCUCGAACUCCAGAACUCAAGUGAUCCGUCCGCCUCGGUCUUCCAAACUGCUGGGAUUACAGGCGUGAGCCACCGCGCCCAGCCUUUGGGGAAGUUCUUUUUACCGUCCAUCAUCCAUUGCCACCACACCUUCUGCUUACGAGUUAUUUAUAAUAAGUUUAACUAAAAGAGAACGAGAGAACAUCCCCUGAAACCCAAAGUUUGUCAUUCUAUACAGCUUUCCUGCCUGCAAAAGAGGAGGAGCAGACUCAUCCAGCAAAUCACCUAAAAAGUUUGAAGAUCAAAAAGCCUAGCUCCAGUUUCAGAUCCUUCCCCUACCUUUCUGAACACUAGUUUCUUCCUCUGAAAAACGAAAGAGGGAACGGGACCGUAGAGUGGAGUGGGCACAAGAAUCGCAAGUCCCUUCUGGCUAUGACGCUGCAAGACUCUAGGUACAGUUUAGGACUCCGGGCAUUCAGAUCCCCGGGACUUGUCAAGUUCUCCUCAUUGACAUUUUUGAUAUUUCGUGACAACACAAAUUCAUCACAUUUUUGUGCUGUGUGUUAUAUGUGGGAAGGAGAUUUUAAAAAGAUUGCCUUUUGAAGUUAUUGGAUAGCUGUGUUACAGAAGAAAACAUUGCCUUCAAGAAGUUAUUGGAUAGAUAUGUUACAGAAGAAAAGACGUUUGUUUCAUUUUUGACUUUGCAGGAAAAGAAUAUGUAACACAUCAGAAUUCUUCUCUCCUCCCUGGCCUUAGUCGAGUACCUGAGGGGCAUUAAAGCACUUCCUCCUUGCAAUCACUUACCCAGCAUAGUCCUUAAUACAGAUAUCUUCAUUGUUGAAUGAAUGAAUGAAUGUUCAUUAUGUUUGAUUACCUUAGGUUUACUUUCCAAAAGUGUCUUACUUGAGGAAGACCACAUCUACACAAAAAAAUCAAACUUUAAAACAGAGUAAGAGACCAUUCACACUACAAAUAGAUUCUCGGUUUAUAAAAGAUGUGUUAUAGUGCUCCCAUAAAUAGUGAGGCACUCUUCUGUAUCAGAUGGCACAAAUUUGAUUACAUAUAACUACUAAGUGCUUUUCCGUGGUCUGUGGUUCAUAGUGUGGGUGCCUGUGGUAUGCUAAGGUCUCUAUUUUACUGACAGCCACAGUUAAAAUAUAUUUCUUAAAACCAAAUAAACAGUCCACCAUCACCAGCCAAAUGCUAGGAGAGUGCUGACUGCUAUUUUAGCUGCUUUCUUCUAGGCAGAAUGAAAAGAAAAACAUAAGUUAA